GGAGAGAUGGCCGAGAGGUCGAAGGCGGUUGACUCGAAAUCAGCUGUGGGCUCCGCCCACCGUGGGUUCGAAUCCCACUCUCUCCGCCA
rnacentral:tRNA from 1 species